rnacentral:tRNA from 1 species
AAUGGGGUGCCUGAAUAAAGGGUUAUCUUGAUAGGAUAAAUCAUAUAAAUUAAUUUUAUUUCCGUUG